GAGUUUGAUUCUGGCUCAGGACGAACGCUGGCGGCGUGCCUAAUACAUGCAAGUGGAACGCAUUGAUUUCACCGGAGCUUGCUCCACCGAAAUUAGUGAGUCGCGAACGGGUGAGUAACGCGUAGGUAACCUACCUCUUAGCGGGGGAUAACUAUUGGAAACGAUAGCUAAUACCGCAUAACAAUAGGAUACACAUGUACCCUAUUUAAAAGGAGCAACUGCUUCACUAAGAGAUGGACCUGCGUUGUAUUAGCUAGUUGGUAGGGUAACGGCCUACCAAGGCAUCGAUACAUAGCCGACCUGAGAGGGUGAUCGGCCACACUGGGACUGAGACACGGCCCAGACUCCUACGGGAGGCAGCAGUAGGGAAUCUUCGGCAAUGGGGGGAACCCUGACCGGGCAACGCCGCGUGAGUGAAGAAGGUUUUCGGAUCGUAAAGCUCUGUUGUAAGAGAAGAACGUGUGAGAGAGU
rnacentral:rRNA from 1 species